GGGUUGUGAGGUUAAGCGACUAAGCGUACACGGUGGAUGCCCUGGCAGUCAGAGGCGAUGAAGGACGUGCUAAUCUGCGAUAAGCGUCGGUAAGGUGAUAUGAACCGUUAUAACCGGCGAUUUCCGAAUGGGGAAACCCAGUGUGUUUCGACACACUAUCAUUAACUGAAUCCAUAGGUUAAUGAGGCGAACCGGGGGAACUGAAACAUCUAAGUACCCCGAGGAAAAGAAAUCAACCGAGAUUCCCCCAGUAGCGGCGAGCGAACGGGGAGCAGCCCAGAGCCUGAAUCAGUGUGUGUGUUAGUGGAAGCGUCUGGAAAGGCGCGCGAUACAGGGUGACAGCCCCGUACACAAAAAUGCACAUGCUGUGAGCUCGAUGAGUAGGGCGGGACACGUGGUAUCCUGUCUGAAUAUGGGGGGACCAUCCUCCAAGGCUAAAUACUCCUGACUGACCGAUAGUGAACCAGUACCGUGAGGGAAAGGCGAAAAGAACCCCGGCGAGGGGAGUGAAAAAGAACCUGAAACCGUGUACGUACAAGCAGUGGGAGCACGCUUAGGCGUGUGACUGCGUACCUUUUGUAUAAUGGGUCAGCGACUUAUAUUCUGUAGCAAGGUUAACCGAAUAGGGGAGCCGAAGGGAAACCGAGUCUUAACUGGGCGUUAAGUUGCAGGGUAUAGACCCGAAACCCGGUGAUCUAGCCAUGGGCAGGUUGAAGGUUGGGUAACACUAACUGGAGGACCGAACCGACUAAUGUUGAAAAAUUAGCGGAUGACUUGUGGCUGGGGGUGAAAGGCCAAUCAAACCGGGAGAUAGCUGGUUCUCCCCGAAAGCUAUUUAGGUAGCGCCUCGUGAAUUCAUCUCCGGGGGUAGAGCACUGUUUCGGCAAGGGGGUCAUCCCGACUUACCAACCCGAUGCAAACUGCGAAUACCGGAGAAUGUUAUCACGGGAGACACACGGCGGGUGCUAACGUCCGUCGUGAAGAGGGAAACAACCCAGACCGCCAGCUAAGGUCCCAAAGUCAUGGUUAAGUGGGAAACGAUGUGGGAAGGCCCAGACAGCCAGGAUGUUGGCUUAGAAGCAGCCAUCAUUUAAAGAAAGCGUAAUAGCUCACUGGUCGAGUCGGCCUGCGCGGAAGAUGUAACGGGGCUAAACCAUGCACCGAAGCUGCGGCAGCGACACUAUGUGUUGUUGGGUAGGGGAGCGUUCUGUAAGCCUGUGAAGGUGUGCUGUGAGGCAUGCUGGAGGUAUCAGAAGUGCGAAUGCUGACAUAAGUAACGAUAAAGCGGGUGAAAAGCCCGCUCGCCGGAAGACCAAGGGUUCCUGUCCAACGUUAAUCGGGGCAGGGUGAGUCGACCCCUAAGGCGAGGCCGAAAGGCGUAGUCGAUGGGAAACAGGUUAAUAUUCCUGUACUUGGUGUUACUGCGAAGGGGGGACGGAGAAGGCUAUGUUGGCCGGGCGACGGUUGUCCCGGUUUAAGCGUGUAGGCUGGUUUUCCAGGCAAAUCCGGAAAAUCAAGGCUGAGGCGUGAUGACGAGGCACUACGGUGCUGAAGCAACAAAUGCCCUGCUUCCAGGAAAAGCCUCUAAGCAUCAGGUAACAUCAAAUCGUACCCCAAACCGACACAGGUGGUCAGGUAGAGAAUACCAAGGCGCUUGAGAGAACUCGGGUGAAGGAACUAGGCAAAAUGGUGCCGUAACUUCGGGAGAAGGCACGCUGAUAUGUAGGUGAAGCGACUUGCUCGUGGAGCUGAAAUCAGUCGAAGAUACCAGCUGGCUGCAACUGUUUAUUAAAAACACAGCACUGUGCAAACACGAAAGUGGACGUAUACGGUGUGACGCCUGCCCGGUGCCGGAAGGUUAAUUGAUGGGGUUAGCGGUAACGCGAAGCUCUUGAUCGAAGCCCCGGUAAACGGCGGCCGUAACUAUAACGGUCCUAAGGUAGCGAAAUUCCUUGUCGGGUAAGUUCCGACCUGCACGAAUGGCGUAAUGAUGGCCAGGCUGUCUCCACCCGAGACUCAGUGAAAUUGAACUCGCUGUGAAGAUGCAGUGUACCCGCGGCAAGACGGAAAGACCCCGUGAACCUUUACUAUAGCUUGACACUGAACAUUGAGCCUUGAUGUGUAGGAUAGGUGGGAGGCUUUGAAGUGUGGACGCCAGUCUGCAUGGAGCCGACCUUGAAAUACCACCCUUUAAUGUUUGAUGUUCUAACGUUGACCCGUAAUCCGGGUUGCGGACAGUGUCUGGUGGGUAGUUUGACUGGGGCGGUCUCCUCCUAAAGAGUAACGGAGGAGCACGAAGGUUGGCUAAUCCUGGUCGGACAUCAGGAGGUUAGUGCAAUGGCAUAAGCCAGCUUGACUGCGAGCGUGACGGCGCGAGCAGGUGCGAAAGCAGGUCAUAGUGAUCCGGUGGUUCUGAAUGGAAGGGCCAUCGCUCAACGGAUAAAAGGUACUCCGGGGAUAACAGGCUGAUACCGCCCAAGAGUUCAUAUCGACGGCGGUGUUUGGCACCUCGAUGUCGGCUCAUCACAUCCUGGGGCUGAAGUAGGUCCCAAGGGUAUGGCUGUUCGCCAUUUAAAGUGGUACGCGAGCUGGGUUUAGAACGUCGUGAGACAGUUCGGUCCCUAUCUGCCGUGGGCGCUGGAGAACUGAGGGGGGCUGCUCCUAGUACGAGAGGACCGGAGUGGACGCAUCACUGGUGUUCGGGUUGUCAUGCCAAUGGCACUGCCCGGUAGCUAAAUGCGGAAGAGAUAAGUGCUGAAAGCAUCUAAGCACGAAACUUGCCCCGAGAUGAGUUCUCCCUGACUCCUUGAGAGUCCUGAAGGAACGUUGAAGACGACGACGUUGAUAGGCCGGGUGUGUAAGCGCAGCGAUGCGUUGAGCUAACCGGUACUAAUGAACCGUGAGGCUUAACCUUACAACGCCGAAG
rnacentral:rRNA from 1 species